GAUCAGCAAAGCCGGGGAAUGUGCAGACAUUCAUCGGGAACUCCCGGCAAAAGGCUUGCAAAGGGUGAUUUCCCUUUC
rnacentral:ncRNA from 1 species